GACGAACGCUGGCGGCGUGCUUAACACAUGCAAGUCGAACGGAAAGGCCCUGCUUUUGUGGGGUGCUCGAGUGGCGAACGGGUGAGUAACACGUGAGUAACCUGCCCUCGACUUUGGGAUAACUUCAGGAAACUGGGGCUAAUACCGGAUAGGAGCUCCUGCUGCAUGGUGGGGGUUGGAAAGUUUCGGCGGUUGGGGAUGGACUCGCGGCUUAUCAGCUUGUUGGUGGGGUAGUGGCUUACCAAGGCUUUGACGGGUAGCCGGCCUGAGAGGGUGACCGGCCACAUUGGGAGUGGGAUACGGCCCAGACUCCUACGGGAGGCAGCAGUGGGGAAUAUUGCACAAUGGGCGGAAGCCUGAUGCAGCAACGCCGCGUGCGGGAUGACGGCCUUCGGGUUGUAAACCGCUUUCGCCUGUGACGAAGCGUGAGUGACGGUAAUGGGUAAAGAAGCACCGGCUAACUACGUG
rnacentral:rRNA from 1 species